rnacentral:lncRNA from 1 species
GUAGUUGCACCUCAGCAGAACCAGGGCUCCUUCAGAGACAGAGACGUGGCUGCCAAGCUGGGUCACCGACUGGGCUCUGGUUCCUCCUGCAACACCAAUGCUGUCUCCCUAUCUACACAGACACCAGUGAGCUACAUCAGCCAGCUGCAGGGAGGAGGCUCAGUGGAUGAGGAUGGUCGGCAAUGAACACAGAUGCCUCCUUAGUGCAACGUCGCCCCCUGAAGGCCACAGGCGAAACCACGGAUCCAAGGAAGUGAACUGUUUGCUUCUCAUUUGAGAAAUGUGGUAUCAAAACCAACAGAAAGUGUUUCUUUCUUCCCAAAUCUGUGAUGACGUCACCUUCUGUAGAGUACAUGGUUUUAAUCCUAAAUACAUGAGAAAUGAGAGUAAUGUAAAAAUAGAAGACUAAUUUACUUUACUGAGCAACUAGUCACAGAAGACAACAUUCUAGACUUUGGAAUACCAUUGAGACACUCUAUAUUAUUUUGUAAAACCAUUCAUCAAGGAGAAGGGAGGUGAUCAGUUGCCUCAGUCUGGGCUGAGUUUCAUAUGGCCCUGUGUUUCUGAAUGUCAGCAUUACGGUGGGUGAAAGAGAUUAUUCCUUAUUUGAUUCUUAAAAAAAUAAACAAACUAGACCUGAGUCUCAUACUUAAAAUCAGCAUGGAUCACAUGUCACUAAUUAAUUAAUCAAAGCAAACAAAUAAAGCAAAAUUUUUUUUGUUAAGCAAAAAUGUUAAAGAGGCCCCUUGGUUUCAGGUCAAUAACUUCGAUAUUUGUAACUCUAGGAAAAAACAACUUAGGUACUUCAUGUUUAAAAAGAAUCAUGUUCCAAUUGUCAAAGCUCCUACAGUCUGAUACAUCAUGCCAAAUUAUAUCUCACACUAAAAAGAACAUUAACAGAGGCCCAUCUAUGGAAAAACUUGAGUGGAAUGAUGAGUGUAAGAAAAUAUAACAAAUAAAUAAUCCUGGGAAGAGUUAGGAAAAGAAAAGUAAAAUAAACCUGUGUUAACUCAGAAAAUUGGGAGGAAUGCAACCAGCAGACAAGAAAUGAGAGGACCUUGUGGGAGGUAUAGAAAAUCUGGGAGAGAUUGACAGUGAUACUCAACAGAGCUAGGCAAGCAGUAGUCCCCUGUGAGUGGGAGAUAGGCUGUAUUGAACUGGAGCGGUCGCCUCUGGCCUAAAAAGAUGAAACUCUUGAAUAAGAAGCCAUCUUCAUCCAACUUAUUUUAGCAUAGAGAUCAUUGGACCCUAAAACUUAAAAAACCAAAUGAGGAGAGAAAUCUCAGGUGAAAUGAGAACCUGGCCAACAAGGAUUCUUUUCACAAGGUCAGAACAAAAUCCCUCCUUUCUGUGUACUCUGUUCACUCACGCCAGCCUGAAAUCAGUUCUCCCUUGCA